AUUAGAAUACAUGAGAGAAGAAAGGUUACCCUCUCUCACGAUGCUGUUGGAGGGAAGAUGAUAGGAAAGGAAUGAAGAGGCGUCACAAGUGACCCUUACUGGGCUGUCAGAAGCAGUGCAGGCUCACUGUGUCUUCUGGGAAGGCUCCCUUCCUUGGCAUUGUCCAUUUGCAGUGGCAGGAACGAGCCCACAUGUGUGCCUGUGUACUGUCACGUCCUCCCGGCACAGAUCUCUUGGACUUCCCCAUGGCUUCUGUUCUCAGAAAGCCCAUGUGGCAGGAUGCUGGCUGCACAACUUCAGGGAGCAGGUCCAGCCAAAACUUGAAGCCAAUUUACCUUCUCCAUGCUGCAGAGUUGCGGUGGGCAUCCGAGUUGAGAUAGCCUUGAAGAAAUCUUCCUGAGACCCCAGAUCCAUCAUGCACCUUGUAUGGUUCCUUCGCAAUGUCUUUCCUCAUCUACCUGCCUUCCACUGAUGGACUGAGAUUAAGGUCUGCAAUCUGUAAUGCGAGGAAAUUAAACCUGCCACUGACUGUCAUAUCGAUUUACCAUCUGCUGUUCCAGGUGUUUGCUUGAUUUUUAAAGGCUGUGAAGUGAGCUCCCUUACAACUUGUCUGCAAAGGUAGAAGUCUUCUCAAAUGCUUUGCUUGAAUCUCCAAUGUGAUAUGCUUUUGAGACUUGUAAGGUAACUGUGAGCCAUGUGGAUAUGUCACAUGUGCCGACUACAGGUGUUUUAAAUGGGACAAGGUAGGACAGAGUUGUCACCAACCUAAAUGAAAUAAUAGUUAUAAUAUCUCAACAAGACAGUGAGAAGCACAGCAAAAUAUCCAAAGAAGCAUUUCAUUGAUCAAGAAAGAUCCCUGCCUCUUGUUACCUUUGCUGUCUUGUGCAUGCCAUGUUGUUUCUGCUCUGCCAUGCUGUUUGUCAUCACUGUCUUGGAGCCAGCUGAUUGUGGACUGAAACUUCCACAAACUUUAAGCCAAAUAAACCCCAUCCCCUCUAAUUUCAGGUGUUGGGUAUUUUGUCUCAGCAAUGAAAUAAAAGUAACUAACACAGAAAUUUGGUAACAGAGAAAUGGGGCUGUUGCUGUGACAUUACCUGGCCAUGUGGCUCAAAAGCCUUUGGAAUUGGCUUGUGGGGAAGGAGAAAAGUUAGGAAAGAUCUGGAGAUGCUGGCUACAGAAGCAGUGCUGGAAUGCCUUAGGCUGUUUUGUAUGGGAGAUUCUGGCCAGAGCUCAGAAGACCAGAAAGCCAGUAAAGACCAGGCUCAGGAGAUUUCUGCUGGGAAAAAGGACUCCAUUGGCUGUUGGACCCCAGAUGAUGUGUGUUAUGGCUUGGCAAAAAGUUUGUCUGCAUUUUGUUCAUGUCCAGAGACUUUGCCUGAGACUGAGAUUAGGCAUGGUGGACUAAUUAAUCUUGCAGAAGAAAUUUCAAGGCGGUCAAAUGUUGAGGCAGUGGCAUGGGGACUUUUAACCAGAUCUUUGGUGAGAAUCAAGAGCAAAAAGCCCAGAAGAAUGAUUAAACAUGUUUUGAGUUUGGCCAGAAAGGAAGCUCCAGUAAAGCUGUGGACUUCAAAGAGAGCAGAGAAGGUUUUGGUUGCUGAGAAGGAAGUGGAAAAUAGAAAAGAUGGCCUGUUUACAAAGACUUGGAAAAUAAUUAUGAUAUUUUUAUUAUUAUGGUGAUUGGUAAGUGAAUGUGUUAGUAUAGCUUCUGCUAUGGUUGUUUUGAGUCAGCCAUUAUUAGAAUUUAUUUUUGAUUUCUGUUCAUGGGGGGGGUAAUUAUAUUAUAGAGUGAAAUAUGAAAAAAAACUUGAGGUUAUACCUGGUGUAUGGAAAAUGCUUAGGGAUUGCUCAAGAUAUCACCUAAUAACAUACAGCAGGUGGUGUCAGCAUUUGUGUUGGAAAUCUAGAUUUGGGCAGAUGGAAAAUUGAAUCUUUAACCCCCAAGGUCAUAAUAGCAUAUCGUCACUUCAUUUGAUCCUCCUACUAAUUGAGCUUGUCAAAUACAGUACACUGCUGCCAUUUCCUGUUACUUCCAUUUUCAUAAUAAAAUUAAAUUGAAAUAGUUAAAAAAAAAAAAAAGAAAAGAUGGCCUGAGGA